rnacentral:rRNA from 1 species
GACGUAGGGCGCGAGCGUUGUCCGGAUUUAUUGGGCGUAAAGAGCUCGUAGGCGGCUUGUCGCGUCGUCCGUGAAAACCUGCAGCUCAACUGCAGGCUUGCGGUCGAUACGGGCAGGCUAGAGUUCGGUAGGGGAGACUGGAAUUCCUGGUGUAGCGGUGAAAUGCGCAGAUAUCAGGAGGAACACCGGUGGCGAAGGCGGAUCUCUGGGCCAUUACUGACGCUGAGGAGCGAAAGCGUGGGGAGCGAACAGG